UACGUAGGGUGCGAGCGUUAAUCGGAAUUACUGGGCGUAAAGCGUGCGCAGGCGGUUUUGUAAGCCAGAUGUGAAAUCCCCGGGCUUAACCUGGGAAUGGCAUUUGGGACUGCAAGGCUGGAGUUUGGCAGAGGAGACUGGAAUUCCUGGUGUAGCAGUGAAAUGCGUAGAUAUCAGGAGGAACACCGAUGGCGAAGGCAGGUCUCUGGGCAUUAACUGACGCUGAGGAGCGAAAGCAUGGGGAGCGAACAGG
rnacentral:rRNA from 1 species